CUCUCACCGCUAAAAAAACUCCGACCGACGGCCACUCUGCUGUUUCCGACCUCCGCUCUCAACGUUUUCCUACUACGCUAUCCCCUGCUUCGUCCUCCUUUGGACCUUCACCACGCCGUCCCCCGUGAGGUCGCCGGAGGAUAUGGCGUCGCGUAGUCGUUCCCCUGGUUAGCGAGCCACCCCUUCUUGCAGCGUCCGUGGGGUGCCAGUGCAUCUUAAGGGGCCGCGCAGGAGGACAACUUGAGACUCGAGAUCAGUCAGGAAGAGGCGGAUUCUUGGAGUUUUUUUCUUUUUUGAACAAAACGGAUUCUUGGAGUUACAGGCAAUCUGUUCCCCAUCCUUUCUCAUCGAUAGGGAACCAUCCGUUCCCGCGCGCUCGCGCACCGUCGCCCAGUUCCAGCGCGCCGCCACCAGGCUGCACCCCCGCCAGUGAUCUGCCCAGUUCCUACGCGUCCGCGAGCCGUCGCCAAGUUCUCGUGCGCCGUCGCCCAUCUAGAACCCACCCUGUCUAAUCCGGUGCAGCAGCCGGCAGCGGUGGAAGGUCCUCACAGGUGCCGGCGGGCGCCUGCUCCGCGUCAACGCAGCCACGCUUCACUGCGUCAAGACAUUCGCUGCACCGCCAUCGAGCUCGCUGCGGCGUCAGUACCAGCAGGACGUUGCCACCGCCCGUAUUUGCCGCUCUGUGCUUGCCGCCUAUUAACACAACCACACUUGCCACGUCGAGGUGAUUUUGCUGUUCUUAAUUAGUGCAGCCCGUCAAUCCGACCAUCCUCGACCUACCCAAGGGAAUGGAUAGCCUGGGAGAAGUUUGAAACAAGGAGCAGAUCAAUUCAGCGUUGUUCACUAAAGAUUUUCAGUUUCAGCUCAGGUGUUCCUACAACAUUUGCUGUAUAAGAAGUUCCCAUCCUAAUCGAUUGCUUAGCAUUUUGUAUUCCAAUGUGCCGGCACAUGUAUCUUAAAUAUUAUUUUAUUAUUGUUCGUGUUAGGUGUAAUUUAAAUAAAGGUUUCGAAACAAAAUCUGGGCUUA